UAGAGAUCCCUCCCUUGUGGAGUUUUCCCUGCAAGUCUAGAUCUUCAGGGAUGGGCAUCUUCUUGAAUCUUCCUUUUUCCUGAACAAGUGCAAUGAUGGCAGAUCUCAUUGUCUAUCUUGCCCUUCUUCUCUCUGCAUCCAAUCUUUUCUGAUCCUAUUGCUGUAUCAGGAUGUCACAGCUCAACAGUCCCACAGCAUAAUAAAGAUGGUAUUUCUCACGC